rnacentral:rRNA from 1 species
GUAGUCCACGCCCUAAACGAUGUCGACUAGUUGUCGGAGGCUUGCGCCUUCGGUAACGCAGCUAACGCGUGAAGUCGACCGCCUGGGGAGUACGGUCGCAAGAUUAAAACUCAAAGGAAUUGACGGGGACCCGCACAAGCGGUGGAUGAUGUGGAUUAAUUCGAUGCAACGCGAAAAACCUUACCUACCCUUGACAUGCCAGGAACUUGCCAGAGAUGGCUUGGUGCUCGAAAGAGAACCUGGACACAGGUGCUGCAUGGCUGUCGUCAGCUCGUGUCGUGAGAUGUUGGGUUAAGUCCCGCAACGAGCGCAACCCUUGUCACUAGUUGCUACGAAAGGGCACUCUAGUGAGACUGCCGGUGACAAACCGGA